rnacentral:rRNA from 1 species
UCUUCCGCAAUGGGGGCAACCCUGACGGAGCAACGCCGCGUGGGGGAUGACGCCCUUCGGGGUGUAAACCCCUUUUCUGCGGGACGAAGGCGGGGGCGACCUCGCUUGACGGUCCCGGAGGAAGAAGGACCGGCUAACUACGUGCCAGCAGCCGCGGUAAUACGUAGGGUCCGAGCGUUGUCCGGAGUUACUGGGCGUAAAGCGCGCGCAGGCGGCGGUGCUGGCCCGGCGUGAAAGCCCCCGGCUCAACCGGGGAGGGUCGUCGGGGACCGCACCGCUUGAGGGCGGUAGGGGCUGGUGGAAUGCCUGGUGUAGUGGUGAAAUGCGUAGAGAUCAGGCGGAACACCUGUGGCGAAGGCGGCCAGCUGGGCCGUCCCUGACGCUGAGGCGCGAAGGCGUGGGGAGCGAACGGG